UACUUUUACAUAGAAAUAAAAGUUACUACGGGAUGGUAACCUGAAGGUACUAUGAGAAUAAGUGUCGGCUAAUUUCGUGCCAGCAGCCGCGGUAAAACGAAAGACACAAGCGUUAUCCGGAUUUAUUGGGUUUAAAGGGUGUGUAGGUUGUUUAUUAAGUCAGUAGUGAAAGCUUACAGCUUAACUGUAAAAUUGCUAUUGAUACUGAUAAUCUUGAGUCAGAUUGGAGCGUCUGGAAUGUAUGGUGUAGCGGUGAAAUGCAUAGAUAUCAUACAGAACACCAAUAGCGAAGGCAGGAUGCUAAAUCUUCACUGACACUGAGGCACGAAAGCGUGGGUAGCAAACAGGAUUAGAUACCCUGGUAGUCCACGCCCUAAACUAUGAUCACUAGCUAUUGGAAAAAUUAUAUUCAGUGGCCAAGCUAAAGCGAUAAGUGAUCCACCUGGGAAGUACGAUCGCAAGAUUGAAACUCAAAGGAAUUGACGGGGUUUCGCACAAGCGGUGGAGCAUGUGGUUUAAUUCGAUGAUACGCGAGGAACCUUACCAAGGUUUAAAUGUAUUACGAAUAAGCUGGAAACAACUUAGUCUAUAAGACGUAAUACAAGGUGCUGCAUGGUUGUCUUCAGUUCGUGCUGUGAAGUGUUUGGUUAAGUCCUAUAACGAGCGCAACCCU
rnacentral:rRNA from 1 species